rnacentral:rRNA from 1 species
UACGUAGGAGGCGAGCGUUGUCCGGAAUCACUGGGUGUAAAGCGCGUGUAGGCGGCCUGCCAAGUCUGCUGUGAAAGCGCCUGGCUUAACCGAGGCAGGUCGUCGGAUACUGCGUAACUGGAGGACGGUAGAGGCGUGUGGAAUUCCGGGUGUAGUGGUGAAAUGCGUAGAGAUCCGGAGGAACACCAGUGGCGAAGGCGACACGCUGGGCCGUACCUGACACUGAUGCGCGACAGCAUGGGGAGCAAACAGG